UACGAAGGGGGCUAGCGUUGCUCGGAAUUACUGGGCGCAAAGCGCACGUAGGCGGCUCUUUAAGUCGGGGGUGAAAUCCUGGAGCUCAACUCCAGAACUGCCUUCGAUACUGAAGAGCUUGAGUCCGGGAGAGGUGAGUGGAACUGCGAGUGUAGAGGUGAAAUUCGUAGAUAUUCGCAAGAACACCAGUGGCGAAGGCGGCUCACUGGCCCGGUACUGACGCUGAGGUGCGAAAGCGUGGGGAGCAAACAGG
rnacentral:rRNA from 1 species